GACGAACGCUGGCGGCGUGCUUAACACAUGCAAGUCGAACGGUAAGGCCCUUCGGGGUACACGAGUGGCGAACGGGUGAGUAACACGUGGGUGAUCUACCCUGCACUUCGGGAUAAGCCUGGGAAACUGGGUCUAAUACCGGAUAGGACCCUGGGAUGCAUGUCCUGGGGUGGAAAGCUUUUGCGGUGUGGGAUGGGCCCGCGGCCUAUCAGCUUGUUGGUGGGGUGAUGGCCUACCAAGGCGACGACGGGUAGCCGGCCUGAGGGGGUGACCGGCCACACUGGGACUGAGAUACGGCCCAGACUCCUACGGGAGGCAGCAGUGGGGAAUAUUGCACAAUGGGCGCAAGCCUGAUGCAGCGACGCCGCGUGAGGGAUGACGGCCUUCGGGUUGUAAACCUCUCUCAGCACCGACGAAGCGCAAGUGACGGUAGGUGCAGAAGGAGGACCGGCCAACUACGUGCCAGCCGCCGCCGUAA
rnacentral:rRNA from 1 species